rnacentral:rRNA from 1 species
UACGUAGGGGGCUAGCGUUGUCCGGAAUCAUUGGGCGUAAAGAGCGUGUAGGCGGUUCGGUAAGUCUGUCGUGAAAUCCUGAGGCUCAACCUCGGGCCUGCAGUGGGUACGGGCAGACUAGAGUGCGGUAGGGGAGAUUGGAAUUCCUGGUGUAGCGGUGGAAUGCGCAGAUAUCAGGAGGAACACCGGUGGCGAAGGCGGGUCUCUGGGCCGAUACUGACGCUGAGGAGCGAAAGCGUGGGGAGCGAACAGG